CUGCAAACUCUAUGAUCAGUACCUUGAGGGAACUGAUGAAAAUAGAGGUACUCAAAGUCGCAAGCUCUAUAUGGAGCUGGCUGAUCUAUGGCUUGAGGGCUGGAUGGACAAGGACGGGAUCAAGAAUGCUGUUUACAGAGCGAAAGAAAGGAGAAAAGCUUUGCAGA